rnacentral:lncRNA from 10 species
AGCAAUCAGCGAGACUCCGUGGGCGUAGGACCCUCCGAGCCAGGUGCGGGAUAUAUUCUCGUGGUGCGCCGUUUUUUAAGCCCGUCGGAAAGGCGCAGUAUUUGGGUAGGAGUGACCCGAUUUUCCAGGUGCCGUCCGUCACCCCUUUCUUUGACUCAGAAAGGGAACUCCCUGACCCCUUGCGCUUCCCAAGUGAGGCAAUGCCUCGCCCUGCUUCGGCUCGCGCAUGGUGCUCGCUCCCACUGACCUGCGCCCACUGUCUGGCACUCCCUAGUGAGAUGAACCCGGUACCUCAGCUGGAAAUGCAGAAAUCACCCGUCUUCUGCGUCGCUCACGCUGGGAGCUGUAGACUGGAGCUGUAGACAGGAGCUGUUCCUAUUCGGGCAUCUUGGCUCCUCCUUGACAAGCUUGAAGGUGAGCACCUCGAAGGGCUUCUUUUUAUGUUGAAAGGCACGGGUUUGCAUGGCGGUUCAUCAGAGGUCAAUACCCCAGUUUGAGAAAGUCCACUGUGGGGAGGAAAGAGAGACUUGUAAGUACCAACUGUGCUCCACUCUGGUUUUGUCUGUAAGC